UCCCUCAUCAACUUCACAUUCAGUUCUGUUGUGUAAUUAGCAAAAGAAAUGGCAGUCCAAGUCCAAGGCAGUGUUUCCUCACCUAUGGAUCGUCCAUUGGCCAACUAUCCUCCAGACAUAUGGGGAACUUGAGUCAUGCUCAAGACAAGUUGAAGUGUUGAAAGAAACGGUGAAGGAUAUGUUGAUGGCUUCUACAACUGAUCCAAUACGGAAUAUUUUUUUGAUUUAUUCCCUAUGCCGUUUAGGAGUAUCCUACCACUUUGAGACCGAAGUAGAGCAGCAAUUAGCUCACCGUUUUGAUACACUAAGCAAACUCAUUCAUAACAAUGAUUAUGAUUUGCACACAAUUGCGGUCAUGUUUCAAGUUUUCAGAUCUCAUGGUUAUAACAUGCCUUCCUAUGCUUUUAACAAGUUCAAAUAUGAGAACGGCAAGUUUAACGUUAAUGAUACGAAAGGGAUGAUAAGUUUAUACGAAGCUGCUCAAUUCAGAAUAAAUGGUGAACAUAAUCUUGAUAAAGCCUUUUCUUUCACAACAUCACACUUGAAGUCAAUGCCGAUCAAGUCCACACUAUGCCCAAUAUAUUGAAAAUGCCCUCUACCGUCCCUACCAUAGAGGGGUUCCAAGACUAGAAGCAAGGCAAUAUAUAUGUUUUUACGAAAAGGAUGAAGUAAGCAAUGAUACACUGCUUAAGUUCGCAAAGUAUGAUUUCAAUAGGAUCCAAAUGAUUCUUCAACAGGAAGUAAGCAACCUUCGCAGGAACUAAAAUCAUUUUUGUUAUCUAGGUAUAAACAAGGAGAUAUAUAUUUUAUGCAUUU